rnacentral:tRNA from 1 species
CAGGGAGACAACAAAAUGUUAAAUAUUAAUUUUGUCACCUUAGGUCGAUCGGUACCUCACAUUCUUAAUUCAUUUAAGAAUUUUUUUUCCUAAGUUUUUCUAGGUCACACCCAUUAUUUUUCCUGGGCCAUUAGCUCAGGUGGUUAGAGCGCACCCCUGAUAAGGGUGAGGUCCCUGGUUCAAGUCCAGGAUGGCCCAUAUCUCUAUGUUGGGGGUAUAGCUCAGUUGGUAGAGCGCCUGCUUUGCAAGCAGGAUGUCAGCGGUUCGAGUCCGCUUACCUCCACUGAUUACCACCUCUUCCAUAAUUUAUAGAAGGGAAAUUUUGAGUUGUGAUCUAAUUCUGAACGAAUCUAGCUUCCUAAUUCAGACUGUUAAGAUGCUGGACUCAUUGAAUUAAUUUCAUUGUUUUCAGAGAACCUUGACAACUGCAUAGAUUAUUUUUAAAGACAAUAAGCAUCUUUAAUGAUGCAGAUUUAUUAUUUGUGCGAAUGCAUUAAUAACAAUUCUAUUAAGCUGAUGCUUCAA